rnacentral:rRNA from 1 species
UACAGAGGGGGCAAGCGUUGUUCGGAAUUACUGGGCGUAAAGGGCGCGUAGGUGGCCUUCUAAGUUGAACGUGAAAUCCCUGGGCUCAACCCAGGAACUGCGUCCAAGACUGGGAGGCUUGAAUCCGGGAGAGGGAUGCGGAAUUCCUGGUGUAGCGGUGAAAUGCGUAGAUAUCAGGAGGAACACCGGUGGCGAAGGCGGCUUUCUGGACAGAUACCGACGCUGAGACGCGAAAGCGUGGGGAGCGAACAGG